rnacentral:rRNA from 1 species
UACGUAGGGGGCAAGCGUUAUCCGGAAUUAUUGGGCGUAAAGCGCGCGCAGGUGGUUUCCUAAGUCUGAUGUGAAAGCCCACGGCUCAACCGUGGAGGGUCAUUGGAAACUGGGAGACUUGAGUGCAGAAGAGGAAAGUGGAAUUCCAUGUGUAGCGGUGAAAUGCGUAGAGAUAUGGAGGAACACCAGUGGCGAAGGCGACUUUCUGGUCUGUAACUGACACUGAGGCGCGAAAGCGUGGGGAGCAAACAGG